rnacentral:rRNA from 1 species
UACGUAGGGGGCUAGCGUUGUCCGGAAUCAUUGGGCGUAAAGAGCGCGUAGGCGGCCAGAUAAGUCCGGUGUGAAAGUCAAAGGCUCAACCUUUGAAUGCCGCUGGAAACUGAACAGCUAGAGUAUGGUAGGGGCAGAGGGAAUUCCUGGUGUAGCGGUGAAAUGCGUAGAGAUCAGGAAGAACAUCGGUGGCGAAGGCGCUCUGCUGGACCAUAACUGACACUCAGGGACGAAAGCUAGGGGAGCGAAUGGG